GCAUUUAUGUUCCCUUAACUUAUGCGGGUGUGUCAAUCCGGCCUAUAAACUUUUAAAAUGUGUCUAUUAAGGUCAUAUUCACUGUUUGGAUCUCACCUAACCUAAGUCACAAUCAGUUAAAACAGACCUGAUACAUUGUGUCACAUCGUUUUCUCCUCUGUUGCGGUGAACAGGCUAUGAAGGACGCGGGCGGCGGCACACCGUUUGCCAUCCCGCCGUGCGUCGACAUCAAGUCCUCUGUGGCCUCGCUCACCUUCCUCAAGCUGGUCGUGCCAUUCUGGCAGCUCCAGCCCUAUGGCUCCUUGCUCACCAUGUCUCGCACCUCCGCCUCGGCCCCUUGCACCCUCUUUACCACAACCGCCACCAUGGACCUUACUUCUCCUAACAACACCAGUGGCACUGCCACAAACACGAACCAACCACCACCAGUGUCACACCCGGAUCUUAGGGGCACCAAAACACCGGUGUGAAAUAUUCACCAAGUGUGCUAGAAACAAGUCUUACACAUAUGAUGACUCAUGCUACAGAAACGAAUGACACAACAUUAAUAUAUAAUAGAGUUCUAUAUAAAAUAAUUAAAUAAUUACAUCAUAUGAAGACAAUGAUCCAGCAACCCAAAGUUGACUGGGAGACAACGGCCUAGACCUCUCAUGAACUCAUCACAACAUCCUUCAUGCGCCUCAUCCUGGGGUACCUGUUCUUGACCUGGGGAUGUGAGUACAACAAGUGUGAGCUCACAUACGUUCAUCGCUCAACAAGUUGUGGGGAAUAAUGUACAUGAACUCACCAAAGAUGGGAGCCCAUGUGAAGUGUAAGGCUUACCAAAGAGGAUGGUUAAAGCUGCUUUUAAAGUUGGUCAAAAUUUUAUUAGCAGUAAAUAGUUAUAAGUAGAUACCAACCUAAUUAAAUAAGCGAUCAAAAUUAAUAACAACACCCACAAUGCAACAUAAAUGACAAAUUAUGUUUAAUUCCAUAGAUUAAUCAUGUGAGGGUCCGAGCAGCUCAUGACCGUGAACACGGCUGAUAUACCAGUUUUACACUCUGUAGAGGUUGCACAUCUUUAUCUACAAGUCGUGUUACCUAAUUGCCACGGAGUUGAUCAGACCCCCAUACACCUCUACCAAGGAAGCGAGGCAGGGUACCGCUACGAGGCCUUUACAGAGUUCCACUAGCUUCAAGAAACCUGCUACAGUUCUAGGAAGCGCAGUAUAGGAAUCCCCCGUCUGAAAAACCAUCACCGCAAAAUCAGCCCGAGAACCUCCCUAUACCGACCACUCCUCUACUGCCCUUGUGGUCCUCCACAAGUUUUCCUAAUUAGUCAGCCAAGGGUGUCUCAUACCACCCUUGUGGUAGCACUAUUUUCCCGGGUGGUCGCUCCAUGUUCCAAUUAACAAUAUGAUCUUAUCAUGAAUAAUAAUUAAACAACAAUAUAAUUGGAACAUGAUCAUAAUGAAACAUUAGUUUCCCAAAACCAGGUAGAGCAAUAGCAAAUCUACCCAAUAAUUCAUAUGUUUGCAAGGUGGGGUUUAAACAAUGCUAGGGAAAUCUAUUAGGUCCCAUCAAAUUAACCUGAGCAGGUCACAAUGAUUAAUAGGAACAUUAUUAGGUAAAGAAGAGUGAUCAAGGGCACAACUUGCCUGGGACUCGAGAUUCCAGGUACCAGAACGAUCUUCAGGUUCUCGGGACCUCACUGCUAUUCGUAGCAAUACAAACAAACAUGGUAUACAAAAAAUCAACAUCACACCAAACAUAAGCACAAACUGUAUAAUAUUCUACGCGUCGUUACGAGAUCGUAGGUUCGAGAACCGCUAAAUUCGGAGCUACGGUUAUAAAGUUACGAUUUUUCUAAAUAUUUAGGAGUGGGGUACAAAAGAAAUUAAGUACAUAAUUUCAAUUUAGGUUUCAUAACAAAUUAAAGCUACUAGGGGAUAAACAAUAUUAUUAUGGAUCUAAUGCAACUGGAAUGGAUCAAAACAGAGUUAAAAUAAUUUAAAUAUGAAUUAAAUAAGUUUCUGGAAUUAUUUUUAUACUAAAAAUUCUUUUCUUUACUAAGUUUACUCGAUUUAUUUAAUACUUAUGUUGCGGCCACUAUUUCCAGAAUAGCUAGGGUUUCUUUUGUAAACUUCGAGACCUGAUUGUAACAGUUUCUGUAUAGGGAUGGACGGAAGAUUAAUUUUACUAGACGAAGGGGCUUUUAGCACUUUCACACGGCCAAAGGGGUAUUUUUGAGCUACGACUGUCCGAUCAAGAGUCUUCAGACAGGAUUAGAUUGACCUAAUAAUGAAGCGGUAUACACUUCGGGCCAUCGGAUUGCAGAUCUAUGGUCUAGAUUAGACACACGAGAUUUCAACCGAUAUGCAACACGAGUCGUUAGAUCCAGGAUCCACAACCCACGCGUGCACACACCAUUCUCUACGCUUUUCCCAUCGGAUCAAAAAUCAGUGGCUCAGACUUAAAUGGGCCAAAACGUUACACGCAUGUAAUCCUGACCAUCCAUCUAAGAUCGACAGCAACCAGGCCAUCUCCAGCCCUAGCAGGACCCUAGCGGCGGAGCAGGGACGCCGCGGUGGCACCAUUGCCGGGACUCACCGAGCGGGUGCCCGAGAGGCCCAACCUUAGAACGUGAGCAUGCAGAACAGAGAGGGAAUGACAGCCAACUAUAUGGUGGAGGCCUUACCGAGGAUUUGGCACGCAAUCACCCCGGCCACGGCGCUCGGUGGACCGGAACAACUUUCGUCGACGACGGUAACCCCGGCGGCGCAAGCAGUGAUCUCUAGAGAGCC
rnacentral:lncRNA from 1 species